UACGAAGGGGGCUAGCGUUGUUCGGAUUUACUGGGCGUAAAGGGCGCGUAGGCGGCGCGGUAAGUCACUUGUGAAAUCUCUGAGCUUAACUCAGAACGGCCAAGUGAUACUGCAGUGCUAGAGUGUGGAAGGGGCAAUCGGAAUUCUUGGUGUAGCGGUGAAAUGCGUAGAUAUCAAGAGGAACACCUGAGGUGAAGACGGGUUGCUGGGCCAACACUGACGCUGAGGCGCGAAAGCGUGGGGAGCAAACAGG
rnacentral:rRNA from 1 species